UCGGGAAUUUUGGGCAAUGGGCGAAAGCCUGACCCAGCAACGCCGCGUGAAGGAUGAAGUAUUUCGGUAUGUAAACUUCGUAAGAAUAGGAAGAAUAAAUGACGGUACUAUUUGUAAGGUCCGGCUAACUACGUGCCAGCAGCCGCGGUAAUACGUAGGGACCAAGCGUUGUUCGGAUUUACUGGGCGUAAAGGGCGCGUAGGCGGCGUGGUAAGUCAUCUGUGAAAUCUCCGAGCUUAACUCGGAACGGUCAGAUGAUACUGCUGUGCUAGAGUACAGAAAGGGCAAUCGGAAUUCUUGGUGUAGCGGUGAAAUGCGUAGAUAUCAAGAGGAACACCUGAGGCGAAGGCGGGUUGCUAGGCUGAUACUGACGCUGAGGCGCGAAAGCUAGGGUAGCAAACGGGAUUAGAUACCCCCGUAGUCCCUGAGCGGGCUGGCAAGGCGCAU
rnacentral:rRNA from 1 species